CCUACGGGUGGCAGCAGUGAGGAAUAUUGGUCAAUGGACGAAAGUCUGAACCAGCCAAGUAGCGUGAAGGAUGACUGCCCUAUGGGUUGUAAACUUCUUUUAUAUGGGAAUAAACCAGGGCAUGCAUACCUUCUUGUAUGUACCAUAUGAAUAAGGAUCGGCUAACUCCGUGCCAGCAGCCGCGGUAAUACGGAGGAUCCGAGCGUUAUCCGGAUUUAUUGGGUUUAAAGGGAGCGUAGGUGGAGUGUUAAGUCAGUUGUGAAAUGUUGCGGCUCAACCGUAGAAGUGCAGUGGAAACUGGCAGUCUUGAGUACUGGAGAGGUAGGCGGAAUUCGUGGUGUAGCGGUGAAAUGCUUAGAUAUCACGAAGAACUCCGAUUGCGAAGGCAGCUCACUGGAGUGCAACUGACACUGAGGCUCGAAAGUGUGGGUAUCGAACAGGAUUAGAUACCCCUGUAGUC
rnacentral:rRNA from 1 species